AGGGUUCGAUUAUGGCUCAGGAUGAACGCUGGCGGCGUGCCUAAUACAUGCAAGUAGAACGCUGAAGCUUGGUGCUUGCACCGAGCGGAUGAGUUGCGAACGGGUGAGUAACGCGUAGGUAACCUGCCUGGUAGCGGGGGAUAACUAUUGGAAACGAUAGCUAAUACCGCAUAACAGUAGAUGUUGCAUGACAUUUGCUUGAAAGGGGCAAUUGCUCCACUACCAGAUGGACCUGCGUUGUAUUAGCUAGUUGGUGAGGUAACGGCUCACCAAGGCGACGAUACAUAGCCGACCUGAGAGGGUGAUCGGCCACACUGGGACUGAGACACGGCCCAG
rnacentral:rRNA from 1 species